rnacentral:rRNA from 1 species
UACGGAGGGUGCGAGCGUUGCUUGGAAUUAUUGGGCGUAAAGCGUACGCAGGCGGCUCGGCAAGUCGAGUGUGAAAUCCCGGGGCUCAACUCCGGAACUGCAUUCGAUACUGCCGGGCUUGAGUGCGGGAGAGGGAAGCGGAAUUCCUGGUGUAGAGGUGAAAUUCGUAGAUAUCAGGAGGAACACCGGUGGCGAAAGCGGCUUCCUGGCCCGACACUGACGCUCAUGUACGAAAGCGUGGGGAGCAAACAGG